AGCUGUGUGUUGGUUAGCAGGUGUGGAUGUGUGACAGGAAACCAGAUGUCAUUCUGUCCCUGUGCGUGGCCUGUCGGCUCAAUUCAGAGAUGGCCUGAAAUGGGUUUCCCGUAGAAUCUGGCCAAGCCUUGAUCUGUGUCUCUUUACAUAGAUCCAGUUUUGGCUUUCUGCUGACGUCUCUGCAGUUGUGGCACCUUCUUGGGCAAGAGCUCCUUUGGUCUUUCUCUGUCUGUGUAUCACACAACUGGGUAUUUCUAAUAUGCUUUCUUCCUUUAUUAACUUCAUUGGACAUUUUUUCCCUGCAGUGUUUAUGGAAUGGAGUUUACAUCCUUUUCAGAAGCUAGAGUGAUGUGAUGUUUCGCACUCAUCUCGAUUUUUCCAGAGUCCAGCUUGGCACUCAGUGCCUCAGAGACGUCCUCCUACACUUGUUCUGUCCCUUCUCCUAUACCCGUCAGGCCGCCUUCUACAGCAAAUUACAGACACCCUGACUCAGGACAGAGUUCAUUCAGAAAGGCAGGAUUUCAAUCACGGGGGCUGGUUUUCUCAACUGCAUUUUGGAAACUUUUGCCAGCACAUUUUUAAGACAGGGUGCCCAGAAGUUAUGGCCUCACCACGUGGCUUGCAGGAUCCUAGUUCCCCAACCAGGGAUUGAACCGGAAUCUUUGCAGUGGAAGUGCAGAGUCCUAACCACUGGACCACCAGGGAAUUCCCAGGGACAUCGUUUAGAUUAAAAGUGGCAAAGUUUUUCUGUAAAGAGCCAGAUAGUAAAUUUGUUAGACCUUGUGGGCCAAUAGGCAAAAUCAAGAUACUGUUGUAGGUGCUUUGUAACAAGAGAGAACCAAAUGUGC